AUUGAACGCUGGCGGCAUGCUUUACACAUGCAAGUCGAACGGUAACAGGGAGCUUGCUCCGCUGACGAGUGGCGAACGGGUGAGUAAUGCGUCGGAACGUGCCGAGUAGUGGGGGAUAACGCAUCGAGAGGUGUGCUAAUACCGCAUACGUACUGAGGUAGAAAGUGGGGGACCUUCGGGCCUCACGCUAUUCGAGCGGCCGACGUCUGAUUAGCUAGUUGGUGAGGUAAAGGCUCACCAAGGCGACGAUCAGUAGCGGGUCUGAGAGGAUGAUCCGCCACACUGGGAAUGAGACACGGCCCAGACUCCUACGGGAGGCAGCAGUGGGGAAUUUUGGGCAAUGGGCGCAAGCCUGAUCCGGCCAUGCCGCGUGUCUGAAGAAGGCCUUCGGGUUGUAAAGGACUUUUGUCCGGGAGAAAAUGCCUGGUGUUAAUAGCAUCGGGAGCUGAGAGUACCGGAAGAAUAAGCACCGGCUAACUACGUGCCAGCCGCCGCCGUAACAC
rnacentral:rRNA from 1 species